UAUAAGUGCAAGCAUAAGUUUCCGCGUCCAACUUUAAUCGUUCGUCUUAUUUGAAAUUUUUUUAUAAUUAGUAUUUUUAUUAUUAUGAGAUGAUAAAACAUGAAUAGUACUUUACUCGUGAUUUAUGUUUUUAAUUUUUUCAAAAAAUUUUUAAAUAAGACGGACGGUUAAAGUUGGACGCGAAAAACCAUAGCUGCACUUAUA
rfam:Oryza glumipatula chromosome 2, whole genome shotgun sequence.